GUAAAUCAUAGACCCAUGAAGUACCAAAUAAUCUCAGAGUAAUCAGGUGACAUUUACACCAAGAUCCACAACAAAAGCCAAGCUAUUCAAGGAUUGCAUGUUGUUCUGUCUACAGCGUCAGCAUUAUCAAACAAAAAGAGCACAAGAUAUUUCCACAUAUGAACUGUUAUUGAUUCUCUCUAUCCCUUUUGAUUCACCUCCAUUUUCUCAGCAACCACACAUAGCAAAGAAAAUCGGGAAAUGGUAGAUUCAUCACCUUAUCAAUGCCUAGGGCAUCAAGCAGGGCAGCAAGAUCCUCAAUAAGGUCACUGAAGGAGGCCUUUUCAGGUUCAAGCGGCGGAUCAGACAACCCGUAGCCUCUGAAAUCUGGUGCCAGCGCACGGAACCCGGCUUCUGCAACGGCCACCAUCUGGUGCCGCCACGAGUACCAUAUCUCCGGAAAUCCGUGCAAGAACACGACUACAUUUGGACCUAAAAACACAAUUCACAAAACCAAGAACUCACUCACAAUUCCUGUAUUAGGCACUGUAGUUGGAACUACUAAAAUUUAUGGUCAACCCAUGAAGGAAUUGUCCAGAUCACCACAGCGUAGCGUGGUUUUUGAUACAUUAAAACAUUUCAAGACUCUCCAACAUGUAUGGCUGAUCGUCUUUGAGAUUUCACAGAAAAACCCAAUAAGUCAAAGUGCCCAAAUAGAAAGGGUAGCUUGAUCAUGCUUACAAAAAAGGCUAUAACAGGCGUGUGAUGUAUGAGUGAUACAAUAGAAGUUUGAGCAGAGUGAACUUACCAGAGCCGAUUUCAGCGACGUGGUGCUUGAGACCUUGGACUUCAAUGAAUUUGUGUUGAAUUUGAUCCAUUUCAAGUCUUGAUUUUUGGGCAGAGAGGAUUUAAAGUUGACCUUUUGGGCAGAGAGAGAGAGAGAGAGAGAGAGAGAGAGAGAGAGAGAGUUGGAGUUUCGGAUUCAGUUUCAGGUGGAGGAGCAAGUGAGUUCAGUUGAAGAAGAUGUUUUGGUUCUUCUACGUCAGAAAGCCAGAAACAUUUUAUGCCAAUUUGGACCUUAGUACUUACAAUUAUUAACUUACAUUUGGGCUUUUCAUGUUACCAUAUAUUUUCUAAAUCACCCAUCCGUGGGUAGCUGCAUUGAUAUUCAUUUUUCUUUGUUUCGAUGUGGACGAGAGUUCAAAUUCCCACAGGUGCUAACGAUUUAAGUCGGGGGCUCUAGCGGUAAAUUGCUGGGCCAAUUUCCCCGGAAGUAUAGUCGUUGUUGAGCUUCAACUGCGAAGGCCCGUAAGUCGGGGGUUCUAGCGGUGGGUUGCUGGGCCAGCUUCCCGGAGGUAUAGUCGUUAUUGAGCCUCCACUGCGGAGGCCCGUGAGACUCCGAAUCGGCAUAAGCCGACAAGGGUGUGCUCCGGCGGAUCGUCGGUCACCAAAAAAUAAAAUAAAAAAUAUACUUCUUGGGGAUAUCAAAGCUAGUAAUAUACUUCUUGAUAAGGAUUAUAACCCAAAAAUUGGAGACUUUGGGUUGGCCAAACUUUUCCCAGAUGACAUCACUCACAUUAGCACAAGAAUAGCAGGAACUACGUAAGCUCUUUCAUCUUCUUACCAUCGAUUCCACUCAAGCAAUACUCAUGUUCUCACAUCUUUCUGAAAAUUGAUCACCCUUAUUCCUCUGAUACACAUUACAAAUUUGAUUGGUCCGAAAGGAGAUACCAUUUCUUCUGCAAAUCACAGUUUAAUUCAUUGCUUCUGCUCUAGGUUCACCAAGCAGGAAUUUCAGAACAAUUACCCUUUUUGACUACUUGAGGAAACCUAAAAGCAACGGAACAGAAGCAUUUUCUAUUCUGAAAGCGUCAAGCAUCCACGGAACUACUUGAAAAUAUAUUUUGUGAAGCAGUCAGUAUUAUUCUAAGUGCAGUCAGACACUUCAUCAUUUCUGAAAUAAACAAUCAGGACAAACAACCGUUUUUGAGGAGACGACCGUAUCUUGUGAUAGUCAAGGCAUUUCACAUGCCAAUGGAGGGUCUUUUUAGACGCUGAAGAAAUACUGAGAGCGCUCCCAACCAUUAUUUUCCCAUAAUUUGUUGAUAAAAGUGAUGUUUCAGUGACAUGGUUUACAGUAUUUUUAUUAUGACAAGCUAAUUAUCCGUGGUGGAGACUUUUCAUUGGAUGUUUUUAAAGUUCAGGCAUUUCCUGUAUUGGUCGAAUAGAAAAGAGCUUAAAAGUUCUUUCUUCUUCUUCUUCCUUUUUAUUUAACUUUUUUUGGAAUUAUUUUUGUAUAAUAGGAGAAUGGUCAAUGACAAAAUCAUGUAAAUUGCAAGAUUUUGUGGGAUUAUUACUAACUAUUAUAACAGCUUAAACUGUUAAAUGAAUGCAUAAUUUAUUAUUUAAAUAUCUUAACACUCCUUCACAUUUAGUCUGGGUUUUUUAGUUUAGUACUAAGUGUGACAAGUGUGACAUAUUUGAAUGGGGAGGCAAAUGAGACCCGAAAAGAUAUUAAAUGAAUGCAUCGUUUAUUCUUUAAAUAUUUUAAUACUCCCAUUCAUGUUUAAUUUGGUCUUUUAGGCAUAUACUAAGUAUGGACAUAUUUAAAUGGGGAGGCAAAUGAAGCCUGGGAAGAUUUGAACACAUGACUUCCUACUUUGAUAUUACGUAAGAUUUGGUGGGAUCGACUGUUUUAAAAACUUAAGCUAUUAAGUAUAAACGUGAUUUAUUAUUUAAAUAUUUCAACACAAAUUAAAGUUUAUGGGGGUAAAGUACAACAUGUGCCCUAUUUGUAGGUAAUUACACUAAUGAUUUCGGGAUCGUUGUACUAGAAAUAAUAAGUGGGAGAAACAGUGCGAAGGCAGAUUGAAGAGGCUCAGAGAAGUUCCUCCUGGAACAGGCGCGUCGGUGGUCCUUUUUCUGUAUAGCUUUGCAUUUAACGUAUUAUCUAUAUUAGAACAAUGGAAUAGUAGGUUCAGCUUUUGCUUUUCCCUUCUUCAUCAUAGCGUGCUUUUCUACCUCUUGGGCAGGCGGAAGCUAUAAUAUACCUGCGAAAGCUGAAGCAAGAGAAACGAGCAGGGCGUUCGGUUUUAAGUAGAAACAGAGAACCAAUUAGAAAAUGCAUUCGACACCCUUGUCUUGCAGUUCUUCUAACUACUCAAAGUACUGUUCCAGAAAGCUGGAAAUAACUAAAGAUAAUUGGAAAUUUCAUGAGUAGUUUGAUUGUGAAUCGAUAGUUGCCACGAAAAUAUGCAGAGUAUUUACAUCAAGAAAAAUAAGGAAAAAUCAUACUAAAAUUAUUUCAAGGAGGGUGUCAAGUGGAGAACAUACCGUCUAGAAAAAAUUCCACUGAAUUUGAAAGCUGGGAAUAUUCUUUAAAGCCCACUGGUCUAGUUUCGUAGUAAACAAACUUGUGGAGUAUUUGGUGAUCCAUCUAAUUCUGAACGGAUUUUUUUGCUUCAUAGGCAUGGGAACUUUAUGAAAAGGGAGCACUCUUGGAACUGGUGGACCCAGAUUUGGAAGAGUUCCCUGAAGAAGUCCGCAGGUUCAUAAAAGUAGCCUUUUUCUGCACCCAAGCAGUGGCAAGUCGACAUCCGGUGGUGAGCCAGGAGGUCGACAUGCUGUCAGAAAACAUACGGCUAAACGAGAAGGAGCUAACGGCACCUGGUUUCUACCAAGAUUCGGGAGGCUUAAGUGGGAUGCCUUCAUCCAGUAAAAAGUCAUCCACAGAAUCGAGCUAUCUGAUGAGUUUAGUUCCUGUCACAAUCACUCACGUGACCCCUAGAUGAAGAGGAUCACGAUUUUUUACUCAUUGGUCUUGAGGGGUGGUGGGCGAGAUAAUCAUUCAAUUUGAAGGAACUCUUGAAUUAUGUCAAUUUCCUUCAUGUGUCUCUUUGGCUCUCUUCCCCCUUUAUCUCCUGCCUCCUUCUGUGGCCAGUGCUUAUAUUCUUAGGUAGAGGCAUUAAUUUUGUAUAUCUGAGUGAAUAUGUUCUGCUGAAGCAGAGGUUGAGAUGUUUAUAUACACAGAAGACGUUGGUUGCGGUGAUUCAAUACAUCAGUUCUCACAGAGUUCUCCAGGAUUUGUUUUGUAGAUCUUGUUUUGGGAUGAAUUUGUUUCCCUCUUCAACUCACCCUCGUCUGAAUAGUCCUUUUACAUCCGAGUUGCUGCAGAAAGGAUGGAAGGUGAUAAGUAACGUAUUUUGCUGGCAAACCAGGGUCUUGUCAAUGUGGAUAGUCACACAUUCAUGAACUAAAAUCAUUUACCGUUCUGGAAAUAGUUAGGCCUUCUAGUGUGGGAUGGUAUCUUGUCAAAAUAUUUGGUAAGAAGAAGUGCCAAAUGGAAUGGAGGAAGCGAGGGAUCGAAAUACCAAUUGAAGGGAAUGAGAAUUUCUGGGUCUUUUUAUAUUUCAGAAUAUGUUUUUAGCAUGCUUUGUACGUGGCAGAAAUUCUCUUGUGAAUAAACUAGAGUCCGUUUAUAUCUCAAUAAAUUUGUAAAAGAGGCCUUUUCUUUUCUAAUAGUCCAUCGUUUUUCAUUUGGACAAGAAAAACCAAAAAGUAAUUUCACCUUUUCCCUUUAAUUAUCAAAAUGCUUAUGUUUGUUUUCGUUCAAGAACAAUUUUUAAGGUAUUACAAACGCAUUUUCUUGAACAGUAUUCAUUCUCUCUUGAACAUUUAAGCAAGUCUUCCUUGUGUCAUAUGUUUUGUCGUGUCGUGUCAGGAAGGAAACGAAGCAUUCCCAUCCCCCGGUCCUCACUGGGAAAACCAAGCUUCCAGUUGGGACCUGGAAUGGCAGAAUUCAUUCUUACCGCCCAUCUUGUCCACUAAAGAUGCCCUGGAUAUAUGUGUCUCUGUAGAAGGCUAUCAGGACGCACCAUGUGAUGAUGCACGCAGCCUCCGAUGGAACCGCAGUUCUGUUGCAUAAUUCUACUCUUUCCUUUUCUUUUCCCUCCCUGCCCGCUCAUCAAAUCAAUAAAGGAAUAGCAGGUAUUCGAAGAAACCGAGAGAAAGAGGGAUGAUAGGUUUAAUUAAUCUGUUGAUGCAGGUGAAGUCCAAAGCAUAUCCAGUCACCUUAGUCAUUUGUUCAGUAAGUUAACAACUGCAAAAUUGAAGAUGCACAUUGCGACAGUGCAUCUCACACCGUCCUGUAAAGUGAAGCAUUCUACAUCGUGGAAAGUUUUUCUCUUCGUUGGCAAACAGAAAAGUGCUUAAGGAAACUAUUCUAGCAAUUCAUAAUAUUGUCAUUGCCUCACAUCCAUCUUUGUCACUUACCAUCUUAAGAAGAAAAUCUUGGUAAGUGAGAUUUUAGUUCGCACUGCCACUCAUGCUAUAUCCUAUGUCCCAAAUACACCCUGCAGAUUUGUUUUCCCAGAGUUUCUUCACUUCAACACAUGCAGCUUCUUCUUAGUGGCAAAUGAUUCACUUGAAUGACAAAAAAGUAAAUAGUAACGAGGUCUAUGAUUAUUGAGAAGUAUUUUGUUCAUACAAAGGACCUCUUGAGGGGAACACACAAUAUAUAGAGAACUUUAACGGCGAAUUUUGACGGCUGCUACUGCCUCCCAUUAGUGUUCAUCAAAUAUGCUUCUUAAGGAAACCGAGAAUUAGCUGAUUCACCUCGUCAGGCGAUUGUUCCUGGAUAAAAUGCGUUCCCUCUGGUGAAAAUACAAUCUCUAGCUGGGGAAUCAAUUCUUUGACCUUUCCGCUCCUGAUGUACUCCUCCGUGCCUGGAAAUUUUAGCACAUAAUCCUUCUCCCCCAUUACCAAUAGUGCGGGAACUUUAAUGAUAACAUCUGUUAUUCCCAGAUCCUCCUUAAAUGACCUGCAACAUCAGCCAGAUUGUUAAACAUAAUCUAUCUGCAGGAUGCAGGGCUAUCUGAAGUCUGUAUAAACAGCAAUGAUAGCUUAUUCACCCGGGUGAUCUCCGACAGGAGAUCAGUUAGUGCUGCCUCUUUUAUUCUCAAAGAGCCAUGAACAGAGACCCCGAUUCCAUGCAGUAUGAAUAGUUGGAGAGUCUCAGUAUGUUAACCUUUGACACUGACUCGUAUAAUAUCACAAUAGUCUACUUUCAUCUUUUGCAAAGAUGAGAACAAAGGACCAAAGCUCCGAGGUGAGUAUACAGCACAAAAAAUAUCAGAAGGUUUACCUUGUCUAUUUACUUGGUAAAUAUAAGCAAUCACAGUACAGAAAACAUGUGGGGCUGAACUCAUCACGUGACACACAUAAUAUGAUGCCCUAUAGAUAUGGGCAAAACUUGCAUAUUGCAUCUCAGAUCCAUCGUCAUAAGCCUAUCUCGGAUCAGUUGCUUUAUCAGGAUGACUUGCCAGGGAUCAUGAUCACUGAUCGAGCUUUAAUCUUGUUGGUAUAGCGGAAUGGGAUUUGUCAGCAGGGAGUCUACAAUACCAAGCAUAGAGCGUGAGACCAUUACCUAUAUGGAACUUGCAACGCAGUGCGAAACCCUGAUUUCCGGUACAAAGAACCAUAUUCUUCAAGAUCUCCUUCUGUAAACCAAGGAGGGAGAGGGGUAGAUGGAUCGACUAUAUCCAUAAUCUCCUGGUUCUCUGCAGCUAUUGGUAUUUCACUUCUCGAAAAGAGUAUGUAAGUAUUGCGCACAACUGUUUUGGCAUCAAGGCGCCCAAAAUCAGCUUCUGCCCGUCCAGGUUCCUAAAAUAGAAAGUUCAAAGAUAUCAAAUCAAAAGCAGAUGAUUAUCACUUUAUCAUGUAGUGGUCUUGAGUAACGAGAGUCACAGAGGCGGCAUGCCUGCCAUCUUGAAAUGUAAAAGCCUUCAGGGAGAGGAUCAUGAUAUCCAGCAGGAGGACCACUGAGAGGGCGGUAUGGAAUUCCUAGGGUCACGAUUCCUUGGACCCUCUCUUGGUGGAGGAGGGAAAACGAGUAAGCAGGAAAAGCUCCGAAGUCUUUAGCUACAAGAAACACCUGCAAUGACAGUGCCCAAACCUUGUUACAAGAAGGCUUCACUCUCAGUACAUAACCACAGAACUGCUAGUAAUACAUGCAAUAAUAGCAGCAAAACUACUAUAGUGAAUUUUAGGACUGAUUAAACUAGGAGCAACUUCAUCAGAUUACUGGAAGGUAAAGUUAUGCAUAUACGUGUGAAGUAGAUAAGGCUUCAAACGUGUCCACAUAAUAUUUGUGUUUGAGGAACUAUGAGAUAUUUUGUCUUUCAAUGACCAAAACAACCACAGAUUCCGUGUGAGUUCCCCGUGAACCCCUGCUUUAGAACUUUUCAUGGAAUUGGAUAGACCGUCCCUUCAAGGCUUUGUUCACUAGAUCUCAUCUCGAAGGAAUAUGCUAAGUGAAAAGUAUUGAAUGAAACUAAGAAAUUAAAAAGAAUUCUUGAAUCCCUUUAUGAUUAGGUGAGUAAAUCAUAGAUCCAUGAAGUACCAACUAAUCUCUGAGUAAUCAGGUGACACUUACACCAAGAUCUACAACAAAAGCCAAGCUAUUCGACUUGCGUGUUAUUCUGUCUACAGCGUCAGCAUUAUCAAACAAAAAGAGCACUAGACUUUCCACAUAUGAACUGUUAUCGAUUCUCUCUAUCCUUUUUGAUACAUCUCCAUUUUCUCAGCAACCACACAUAGCAAAGAAAAUCAGGAAAUGGUAGAUUCAUCACCUUAUCAAUGCCUACAGCAUCAAGCAGGGCAGCAAGGUCCUCAAUAAGGUCACUAAAGGAGGCCUUUUCAGGUUCAAGCGGCGGAUCAGACAACCCGUAGCCUCUGAAAUCUGGUG
rnacentral:lncRNA from 1 species